rnacentral:misc_RNA from 1 species
GUGAAUCAUCAAAUUUUUGAACGCAAAUUGCACUCCCUGGUAUUCCGGGGAGUAUGCCUGUUUGAGGGUCGUUAGAAUAAAAAAUCGAUGCGUCGCUCUUUUUUUUAGGGGGAUUGCGUUGGGAAUUGUCCGGUUUUCAAAAGGUAAUUUAUGUCUAAAUGGGCUGGAAUUUAUCCAAUCGGGUCCAUUU